AGAGAGAGACAUGCGCGCAUAUCAAUAAGCGGAGGAAAAGAAACUAACAAGGAUUCCCCUAGUAACGGCGAGUGAAGCGGGAAGAGCUCAAAUUUGAAAUCUUCAAGGGUUCUACCUUGACGAAUUGUAGUUUAAAGAAGUGUUUUCUGUUGAGGUUUUGGUAAAAGUUCUUUGGAAUAGGACAUCAUAGAGGGUGAGAAUCCCGUAUUUGACCUUUACUUUCAACUUUGUGAUACACUUUCAAAGAGUCGGAUUGUUUGGGAAUGCAGUCCAAAAUGGGUGGUAAAUUUCAUCUAAAGCUAAAUAUUGGCGAGAGACCGAUAGCGAACAAGUACCGUGAGGGAAAGAUGAAAAGAACUUUGAAAAGAGAGUUAAACAGUACGUGAAAUUGUCAAAAGGGAAGCGUUUGACACCAGUGUUGUUUUUCUGAAAAUCAAUUAAAGAACUGUUUAUGCUAAGUUGUUUAGACUUUAUCAGCUAACUGCUUUAGUUUUGAGCUUUUCUUUAAUGCACUUUUCAGUUAACAAGUCAACAUCAAUUUCUUUUGCUGUAAAAAAGCUUGAGGAAGGUGGCUUGAGAUUCGUCUUAAGUGUUUAUAGCCUCUUGCCUAUGCAGUCGGAGAGAUUGAGGUCUGCAGCGUAGAUCCUUCGGGGCUAAAUGCAUUUGUGCUAAGUUAUAGCAUUUUAUAGACAACUUGUUGACUAUGAUUUGUCUUGUAGCUUACUCGCUUAUGUUAUUUUACCUACGCUUAGGAUGUUGAAGACUCUACAGAGAUA
rnacentral:rRNA from 1 species